GUGGGUGUAGAUCAGUGGUAGAACACUUGUCCAGCCAUGCAUGAGGUCCCAGGUUCAAUGCCUGGCACCAUG
rnacentral:tRNA from 1 species